UACAGAGGGUACAAACGUUGUUCGGAAUCACUGGCUUAAAGCGCACGUAGGUGGUUCGGUAAGUGCGAUGUGAAAGCCCCCGGCCCAACCGGGGAACUGCAUCGCAGACUGCCGAGCUUGAGAGCGGUAGGGGAGACUAGAACUCCUGGUGGAGCGGUGAAAUGCGUAGAUAUCAGGAGGAAUACCGGUGGCGAAGGCGAGUCUCUGGUCCGCUUCUGACACUUAGGUGCGAAAGCUAGGGGAGCAAACGGG
rnacentral:rRNA from 1 species